rnacentral:rRNA from 1 species
GUAUAGGAGCCGUUUAGGGUAGAACCGGUAACUGGGGCUAAGUCGUAACAAGGUAGCCGUACCGGAAGGUGCGGCUGGAACACCUCCUUU